rnacentral:rRNA from 1 species
CAGUCGUACCGGCGGAUAAUCAGCCUUUCGGGUGCGAUUCUGUGGGGGCGUGAGGAGCUUAACCGCCUUCAUGUUUUGCAUAUUCGUGCACUUUGGGUGUACUUGCCCGUGUGUAAGUUAACAUCAAUUUUGGUGGUCAUAAAAUGGCUGGAGGAAUGUAGCUUCGAUUUCGGUUGAAGUGUUAUAGCCUCUGGUAGAUGUGGUAAUUGGGGGCUGAGGAUUGCAACGAAUAUCCUUUGGGCUAUCCGUCUGGCCUCUGAAAGUUGCUUGGGUGCUGAAAGCUUGCUUAUGGUUAUCUAAGUUAACGGUCAAUAGGUUAGAACGUGAUUACAUUCGUUAAGGAU